GUACUCCUUGAUUCCGGUUGAUCCUGCCGGACCCGACUGCUAUCGGGGUGAGACUAAGCCAUGCGAGUCGUGCGCCCUCGGGUA
rnacentral:rRNA from 1 species